UCGCUGAUUCGUUCUGAAAUAGGGUUACAAUAAAACACCCUUAGUUGGUUAUUAAACCCAAGCUAAAAGUAAGACCCUACAACCCAAAUCCAACGCGUCCUUUCGGAAUGCGUCCAUUAUCCGUACAGAUCCAGGUUUUGUGGAUUAAGACGAUUUUAGCCCCAUAGGGGUCUAGACGCGACUUCCCCACCCCCGGUCACCUCCUUCCCCUUGCCCUUCCCCGGGGGAUCCCCCCCAACCAAGGCCGUGAAAAACCAAAGUUCGUACAUUAAGCACACGCGCCUCCAUGGGACUCCCCAGCAAAUCCCGGCAGCUAAGCUACGGCGCACGAUGGAGCGUAACUCGUACCGCAAACACGAACCCGUGACAGCGCCACACAAUACAAUGCAGUACAGUACAGCACAGUACGACACUGCCAGCGGUAUGGUCGCAUGUAUGGCCGUACCAUCCAUGCACCACCCGAGAAUCAAGACCCCCCAUUCUGGGAAUCACCAUCCAGCUUCAUGCCACAACCGCCAUCACAGCCGCCGCCGCCGCCGCCGGCAUCCUAAACACGGCAAAACCCGCACGCGCGCGUGGAAGCCCACAACGUUCCCGCCCAUGGACUUAUUAAAAGAAGCCGGUCAAAAGAAAAUUCAGCAAUUAUUCCAAAAGGACAAAAGAAGCU
rnacentral:lncRNA from 1 species